rnacentral:piRNA from 1 species
CUUAUAUAGUGUCAACGUUGUUU